rnacentral:rRNA from 1 species
AGGGCAAGUCUGGUGCCAGCAGCCGCGGUAACUCCAGCUCCAAUAGCGUAUAUUAAAGUUGUUGCAGUUAAAAAGCUCGUAGUUGAAUUUCGGGGUUCUACCGUUGGUCGGGCUUUGUCUGUACUGGCGUGUAGAAUUUCUACCUUCUGGGGAACCAUUAUGUUAUUAAUUUAGCGUAGUGGGAAACCAGGACCUUUACCUUGAAAAAAUUAGAGUGUUCAAAGCAGGCUUAUGUCUGAAUACAUUAGCAUGGAAUAAUAGAAUAGGACGGUGGUCCUGUUUUGUUGGUUUCUGAAUCACCGUAAUGAUUAAUAGGGAUAGUUGGGGGCAUUAGUAUUCAAUUGUCAGAGGUGAAAUUCUUGGAUUUAUUGAAGACUAACUUCUGCGAAAGCAUUUGCCAAGGAUGUUUUCAUUAAUCAAGAACGAAAGUUAGGGGAUCGAAGACGAUCAGAUACCGUCGUAGUCUUAACCAUAAACUAUGCCGACUAGGGAUCGGACGAUGUUAAUUUUUCUUGACUCGUUCGGCGCCUUACGGGAA